CCCUGGCUCCUUGGCCUCACGGCCGUCGUGGUUUUCCUCUUCAUCGUCUUGGUGCUCCUGUUGGCCAACCGGCUGUGGCGGGUCAGGAUGGGCAGGAAGCAGGAUGACCUCCAGGAGAGCCCCGGGAGCAGCAGACUGGAGCGCAUUGGCCACGUCAACCCGGGGGCUGAGAACGAGAGCGACCACGAGGGCGACAAAGAGAAGGGGAACAGUGCCACGUCCCUCUGAGUGGUGGCCAUCCCGUGCUCCUCCGGUGCCCGGCCCUGGGAACGCCGCGCCCUAAGACCGCUCCACGGGCGCGGAUCCGCGCCGGGUUUUGCGGCGCGGGAGGGGACGUGGCUGCCACCAACACCCGGCGUGGAGCGGGCACCCGCCGGAGCACGCUGAGGAGAGCACCAGGUCUGGGAGGAGGUGUACCCCGGGAGUCCCGCACCUGCCUGUGCCCCAGUAAAUGUCC